CUUUUUGAAUCUCUCUCGAUUCGUCUGUAAAGGGAAACAUGGAAAGACUAUUCUUGAUCAAACAGCUGCAAGCACUGUCUCACUCAUUUUGCUCUUGCUGAUGAUAUCAUUUCCAAGAUAUGCAGCAAUGUUGGGUGCAUCACCUACAAGUAGAAUCAGUUUGAAACCGGUAAUCUUUAAUCCUUCAGUUGAUCUUCUUCUGAGUAAUAAGAAAAGCUUUGAGAUUGAAAUCUAAAAUGUUGACAAGUAGAUAUCAUGGACUAAUUACACAUAGCAGAAUUGCAGAAAGCAGGCAG